UACGUAGGGGGCUAGCGUUGUCCGGAAUCAUUGGGCGUAAAGCGCGUGUAGGCGGCCCGGUAAGUCCGCUGUGAAAGUCGGGGGCUCAACCCUCGGAUGCCGGUGGAUACUGUCGGGCUCGAGUACGGAAGAGGCGAGUGGAAUUCCUGGUGCAGCGGUGAAAAUGCGCAGAUAUCAGGAGGAACACUAAUUGCGAAGGCAGCUCGCUGGACGUACUGAGCUGAGACGCGAAACGUGGGGAGCAACAGG
rnacentral:rRNA from 1 species